CUUUCACUUUCUCUCUCUAGCGGUUUUCUCUCUCUCAUCCGUUCGUUUUUGUUUCCGCGUGCGCGCUCAAUUCAUCACACCGCUUCAUCAACCCUACCUUUCCCUUCUCCUCUGAUCCUUUUUUCAUCCCCAAUUUCGGGAUCUAGGGUUUUCGUUUCAAUUUUCUUCUCAUUUAGGGUUCUUUUUACCUUCAAUUCGAUAUUGAUCCAUCGAUAUUAUCCUGUUUUGUUUCGUUGA